rnacentral:rRNA from 1 species
UUGGGGAGAAGGUAUGCCCCUGGUACGUGAAGGCCCUCGCGGCCGGAGCGGAACGGGGUCGCAGAGAAUCGGUGGCUGCGACUGUUUAUUAAAAACACAGCACUCUGCAAACACGAAAGUGGACGUAUAGGGUGUGACGCCUGCCCGGUGCCGGAAGGUUAAGUGAUGGGGUGCAAGCUCUUGAUCGAAGCCCCGGUAAACGGCGGCCGUAACAAUAACGGUCCUAAGGUAGCGAAAUUCCUUGUCGGGUAAGUUCCGACCUGCACGAAUGGCGUAACGAUGGCCACACUGUCUCCUCCUGAGACUCAGCGAAGUUGAAAUGUUUGUGAAGAUGCAAUCUCCCCGCGGCUAGACGGAAAGACCCCAUGAACCUUUACUGUAGCUUUGCAUUGGACCUUGACGGGACUUGUGUAGGAUAGGUGGGAGGCUAUGAAACCGGGACGCCAGUUCCGGUGGAGCCAUCCUUGAAAUACCACCCUGGUGUCGUCGAGGUUCUAACCCAGGCCUGUGAAUCCAGGUCGGGGACCGUGCAUGGUGGGCAGUUUGACUGGGGCGGUCUCCUCCCAAAAGGUAACGGAGGAGUACGAAGGUCACCUAGGUACGGUCGGACAUCGUACUGAUAGUGCAAUGGCAAAAGGUGGCUUGACUGCGAGACCCACAAGUCGAGCAGGUGCGAAAGCAGGUCAUAGUGAUCCGGUGGUUCUGUAUGGAAGGGCCAUCGCUCAACGGAUAAAAGGUACUCUGGGGAUAACAGGCUGAUUCCGCCCAAGAGUUCACAUCGACGGCGGAGUUUGGCACCUCGAUGUCGGCUCAUCACAUCCUGGGGCUGUAGCCGGUCCCAAGGGUAUGGCUGUUCGCCAUUUAAAGUGGUACGUGAGCUGGGUUUAAAACGUCGUGAGACAGUUUGGUCCCUAUCUGCCGUGGGCGCUGGAAGUUUGAGAGGGCCUGCUCCUAGUACGAGAGGACCGGAGUGGACGCACCCCUGGUGUACCGGUUGUGACGCCAGUCGCAUCGCCGGGUAGCUAUGUGCGGAAGAGAUAACCGCUGAAAGCAUCUAAGCGGGAAACUCGCCUCAAGAUGAGACUUCCCCGGGGCCUCGAGCCCCCUGAAGGGUCGUUGAAGACCACAACGUUGAUAGGCCGGGUGUGUGAGCGUGGCAACACGUUCAGCUAACCGGUACUAAUUGCCCGUGUGGCUUGAUCCU